AUCCAGCUGACGAGUCCGAAAUAGGACGAAACGCAGAGCAAACUGUAU
rnacentral:hammerhead_ribozyme from 1 species